AUGACUUCCAGAAGGGUGGCUGUGAACUCUACAAAAUCCUCAGAUACCAAAGAAAGAUUCCACUCUUCUGCAGACAUUCAGCUUCAGCGAGGCAAGAGGCCUCCCAGGGCUCCACAUGAAAAAUUAACUGAAUGACCUGGAAGACAAUCUCCAGAGGGGUGACCACAAGGGCCCACCCACCUACUAGGGGACAGAAGCUCUCUGGUCAAGCACCUAUAUGCUCCCCCAUCACCAGCAGCCAAGGAAAUUCUACACUGAUAUCCAGCAGGAAGGAAGUUUCCACAGAUGAGAACAGGAGCAGGUUAGCAUCUCCUAAGCUAGCCAACUGCUAAGAGAGCUCCAGCGGCCUCCUUUCAGAUAACCAAAGCGCAUGGGAAUGGAAAGCAGGCAGGGACCCCCUGGACAGCUUCCUGCCUGGGGCGGAGGAUACAUGCCUGUCUCUCGGGAUCCUCACAGUCUUCCUCGGUUUGCUUCUUGGUCUUAUCAGGGCGCCAGGGCCGCCAGUGCCUCUGGUCACGGGAACGCUCAGCAGCAAGCCAGAUCUGCCACCUGGGCAGAGUCUUAUCUUUUAUUUCCUGGUCAUCCUCUUCUGGUUCAUCGUCAUCCUCAUCUAGACAAGAAUGAGACUUCUUCACCUCAUCAGCAAAUAAAACCACCAUCGCCACUCAAUCAGCCUGCUAUGUCAGGGACUGUUGGGCACCCGCAAUGCCAAGAUGUGUAAGAGCCAUGCCAGUCUCCCAGGAUACUCAGUGGCAUUUAGGAACUCUUUGUAAUCAAUCAAGUCCUCAGGAAGCAAAGGAAGACAAGGUGAUCAAAUCAAAUUAUUUUUAAUAGUAUAGUGAUUAAAAUGGAAAUGACACAUACUCUAGAACAGUACUGUCCAACAGAACUCGCUGUGAUGAUGAAAAUGCCCUACAUACCUGCAUUAACAGGGUAGCCACAUGUGACUCACUGGGCACUUGAGAUGUAGCUAGUAAAGGAACUGAAUUCCUUUUUUUUUUUUCUGAGAUGGAGUCUCGCUGUUGUCGCCCAGGCUGGAGUACAGUGGCACAAUCUCUGCACACUGCAAUCUCCGCCUCCCAGGUUCAAGCAAUUCUCCUGCCUCAGCUUCCUGAGUAGCUGGGAUUACAGGUAUGUGCCACCAUGCCUGGCUAAUUUUUUGUAUUUGGUAGAGAUGGGGUUUCACCAUGUUGGUCAGGCUGGUUUCGAACUCCUGAUCUCAGGUGAUGCACCUGCCUUGGCCUCCCAAAGUGCUGGGAUUACGGGCAUGAGUCACCAGGCCUGGCCUGAAUUCUUAAUUUUAUUUAAUUUUAAAUAGCCACAUGUGGCUAGAGGUUACUGUAUUAGACAACACAGUUUUAGAAUGCUAAAUGACAUUUGAUGAUGGCACUAGUUUAGAUUUUCUUAAGUCAUCCGAAUUUUUAGCCAGGGACCGUAUAAUUAAUUAUGACCUAUGCUCACUAGAACUUGCCUUUAAAAAAGCCAAAUCAAUAUCCAAUAAUUUAUUUCACUUUGUUUCCUAACUCUGAACAUGUAGAAGGGAAGAGGAAGAAAGCCAGAGUUAUCUGUAAAGUUCAAGGUUAAAAAAUAAAGUAUACAAAAUGGUACAGCCACACAGGAAAUCAUUUUGGCAGUUUCUUACAAAACUAAACAUGCACUUAGCAUAACUGCACUCUUGGGCACUGAUCCCAGAUAAAUGAAAACCUACGUUUACACAAAAACCUAUAUGCUAAUACUCAGAAGCAGCUUCAUGCAUAAUCGCCAACACCUGGAAACAAUCCAAACAUCCUUCAGUAGGUUGAACAGUUAAGCUGUGGUCCAUUUACACAAUGGAAUACUACUCAGCAAUCAACAUGAACAAACCAUUGAUAUAUGCAACAAUUUGUAGGUAUCUCAGGGAAGUUAUGCUAAGUUAAAAAAGCCAAUCUCAAAAAGUUACACAAAACACAACUGUUCCCAGGGAUGUGGACAAAUCGGAAGCCUGGUGCCCUGCUGGUGGGAAUGUAAAAUGGUGCAGCUGCCGUCUGCUGUAUGGAAAACAGCAUGGCAUACUAGACACAGGAUUACCAUAUGAGGCGAUUCCACUGCUGAAUAUCUACCCAGGAGAACUGAAAGCAGAGUCUCAAACAGAUACUGUACACCCAUGUUCAUAGCAGCAUUAUUCACAAUGGCCCAGAGGUGGAAGCAACCAAAAUGUGCAUUGACAAAUGGAUGGUAUACACACAUAGUGGAGAAGUGUUCGGCUUUAAAAAGGAAGGAAAUCCUGGCGUGACAUGGAUGAACCCUGACGACACUACGCUAAGCGGAAUCAGCCAGUCACAGGAGGUCAACUACUGUAUGAUUCCACAUCCACCAGGUUCCUAACGUAGUCACAUUCAUAGAGACAGAAAGUAGAAUGACUGCUGGGGCCUGGGGGGAGGGAGAAGUGAGGAAUUUGUCUUUAAUGGGUACAGACUUGGGGAAGAUGAAAAAGUUGCAGAGGUCGAUAGAGGUGAUGGCUGCAUGGCAGUGUGAAUGUACUUAAUGUCACUCAACUGUACACUUAAAAAUGAUCAAUUUUAUAUUAUAUUUUACAACUAAAAAAUUUUGUUAAUGUUAUAUACCUUAUGAUUCCAUUUAUAUAACCUUCAUGAGAUAACAGGAAAACAGAGAGAGAACAGAUUAGUGGUUCCCAUGAGUU
rnacentral:lncRNA from 1 species